UCUCCCUAUCAAGUGACAGAUUGAGAUUCUGUUCCAUAUGACGCCAAGGGGAUGGAGAAUGCAAGUCAUUUCUUCUGGAGUCGUUCAAGGGGAUAAGUUAUGAUAGUGGUUCAUUUCGUGCCAAUUGUUCUCAAGCAAGCAGGACCAACCAUAUAUUUUGUUGCUGAAACCAUAUUGGAAUCGCAAGGUGGGUGUUGCUGGAUUUUGCAUGGGUGGUGCUCUCUCAAUUGCAAGUUCUGUUUUGCUCCCUGACGUUGAUGCUGUCGUUGCGUUUUAUGGAGUGCCGCCAUCAGAGCUUGCAGACCCUGCUAAAGCUAAGGCUCCUGUUCAAGCUCAUUUUGGAGAGCUUGAUAGUUUCGUUGGCUUUUCAGAUGUGACGGUACCUCCCCGUGAAAUUAUUGUCAAGGUUCAUCACUUCAUGACUUCAAAUCCUUGUAGUAUCACCUGUUUAGUCCUUUAGAAAGGGAAGAACUUCUCAGAAGUUGAAUAUUGGCUGCCAAGUCUUUGGAGGAGAAGCUGAAAGCAUCAGGAAUCCCUUACGAGGUGCACAUUUAUCCCGGCAAUGCCCAUGCAUUCAUGAAUAGGUCUCAAGAAGGUGUGAAGAGGAGGAAGGACAUGGGAUUGACUGAUGAGGAUGAGGCAUCAUGUCAGCUGGCUUGGUCUGGCUUCCAGUCAUGGAUGUCUCGCUAUUUGUCCGCUUAAGUUUUUGUUCGUGUAGUUUUAUAUAUCUGACACUCCGACGUAUGAUGGUACUUUCCCGUUCCUACUAGUACCAUACGCAGCAGGGUGUCCUAUGCAGACUUAUGGACUAUAGAUAAGGUACCGUACUGGUACACUUGUAAGGUGUAACUACCUAACUUAAUGGUUUGGCUAGCAAUAAUAUUUCAUCUUAGUGA